rnacentral:RNase_P_RNA from 1 species
UGAGUAAGUUGUGCGACCGCAGCGACAUGCCGAAAGGCAGUCGGUGAGGAAAGUCCGGGCUCCAUAGGGCAAGGAUGCCGGGUAACGCCCGGUGAAGGUGACUUUAAGGAUAGUGCAACAGAAAUAAACCGCAAGUAUUUUACUUGUAAGGAUGGAAAGGGACGGUAAGAGCGUACCAGCAGUUCGGCGACGAAAUUGGCUGUGUAACCCCCACAUGAUGCAAGA